ACAAAGCUAUGAUCAAAAAAGAGAAAGUAAUAUGUUGAGAGAGAGAGAAACAAGAUUACAAAGCAUUCAUUCAACAAAGAUUUGACCAUUUACCAUGGGUCAUGCAAGAGUCUAGCACUGGGGAUACAACAAUGAUCAAAAUAGAACAAAGUUCUUGACCUCAUAAAGCCAACAUUCUAGUAAGGGAAGACAGACUAUAGACGUAUAAAUAAGGAGGCCAGUGUGGCUAGAUGUGAAUAAGCAAGAGAAAAAGUAUAAGAGAGAAGGUUAAAGAGGGGGUCAGAUAUACAGCCAUAGAUAUGACUGAAGAACUUUUGACUGUGAACGAGAAGGGAAGCAGUAAGACCAAGAAGAACCUGAUUUGAUUUCUGUUCUAAAAGGAUCUGAUGGGGAUGCAAGAACUGAAAUGGGAAGACCAGCUAAGAGAUUAAUGUAAUAAUGCACAUGAGAACUGAUGAGGACAUGGACCACAUGGGGAUGGUGUUAAAUCAGAUUCUGGAUGAAUUCUAAAGGACCUGCUAAUAAAUGAGAUGUGGGAUGGAAGAGAAAGAGAACAGUCAAGGAUUCAGCACAGGUUUUACUCUGAGCCACAGCAAAGAUGGAGGUGCCCUUUAAUGAGCUGAGGAAGACUGCAGGAAGUCAAGUUUCAGGGAUAAUUGAUGGAGUGCCUCCCAAAUAUCUCCUGAUUAUUGAUUAAUGCAAAUUGCUGAUUGGAAAGAGAAGUUACCCUAAGCCAGGAGUCUCAUGGGGAAAGCCUGCUGGUCAACCCGACAUGACUACCAGGGUGUGCCACCCAUGGUUGACUGCUCUUCUCUAUCCAGGGCCAGACUUCAGCCUGGCAGACUCACACUUGAUUUAUGAUCUCUCAGGAUGAAUGGAGAAUAGCAGUUCAACAAACAUUUGAGAAAAGCAAGCACCAUGAUGUAGAAAGUCCAAGAUUAAACAUCAACAACAAUAAUAAAAACCCAGAAAAAUCUGUAGCAGAUAAAGAAAAAAAAAUUAGAAGAUAUUUCAAAAAUUUUCGGAAAAAAAGAAAUUUUGAAAAUAAAAGAUAUUCACUUUGAGAUUCACUUUGAGAUACUCUAUCCGAAAGAAGAUACAUGUCCAUAAAGUAAGAAUUGGAUCCUAUAGAAGAGAAACAAUCAAGGAGUAAUAGGUCUUGGAAAUGAAAUACGAUAUCUGAAAUAAAGCAUUCAAUUGAAGGGCUGGAUGACAAAGAUGAAUAAAUGUCUCAGAAAUCUGUAUUGGUUUCAUAUUAUUGCUUUAACAAAUUGCCACAAACUCAGUGGCUUAAAACAACACAAAUUUAUUACCUUAUAGGUCUGGAGGUCAGAAGUUUAAAAUGGAUCUUCUUGGGCUACACUCAAGGGGUGGGCAGGUUCCUUCUGGAGGUUCUAGAGGAGGAUCGGUUUCCUUGGAUUUUUCAGCUUCUAGAGGCUGUCUGCAUUCCCUAACUUGUGGCUCCUUCCUCUGCUUUGAAAGCCAGCAGCAUGGUGUCUUCCAUCUGACCCCUCUCUCUCACUUCUGCU